UAUUGGACAAUGGGUUAGCGCCUGAUCCAGCCAUCCCGCGUGAAGGACGACGGCCCUAUGGGCUGUAAACUCCUUUUGUACAGGGAUAAACCUUUCUACGAGUAGAAAGCUGAAGGUACUGUACGAAUAAGCACCGGCUAACUCCGUGCCAGCAGCCGCGGUAAUACGAAGGGUGCAAGCGUUAUCCGGAUUUAUUGGGUUUAAAGGGUCCGUAGGCGGAUGUGUAAGUCAGUGGUGAAAUCUCACAGCUUAACUGUGAAACUGCCAUUGAUACUGCAUGUCUUGAGUAAGGUAGAAGUGGCUGGAAUAAGUAGUGUAGCGGUGAAAUGCAUAGAUAUUACUUAGAACACCAAUUGCGAAGGCAGGUCACUAUGUCUUAACUGACGCUGAUGGACGAAAGCGUGGGGAGCGAACAG
rnacentral:rRNA from 1 species